UACGAAGGGGGCUAGCGUUGCUCGGAAUCACUGGGCGUAAAGGGCGCGUAGGCGGCCAUUCAAGUCGGGGGUGAAAGCCUGUGGCUCAACCACAGAAUUGCCCUUCGAUACUGUUUGGCUUGAGUAUGGCAGAGGUUGGUGGAACUGCGAGUGUAGAGGUGAAAUUCGUAGAUAUUCGCAAGAACACCAGUGGCGAAGGCGGCCAACUGGGCCAUUACUGACGCUGAGGCGCGAAAGCGUGGGGAGCAAACAGG
rnacentral:rRNA from 1 species